rnacentral:rRNA from 1 species
UACGUAGGGGGCAAGCGUUGUCCGGAUUUAUUGGGCGUAAAGAGCGUGUAGGCGGUUAGGUAGGUGGGUUGUGAAAACUGGAGGCUCAACCUUCAGACGUCGACCCAAACCCCCUGGCUAGAGUCCGGAAGAGGAGAGUGGAAUUCCUGGUGUAGCGGUGAAAUGCGCAGAUAUCAGGAAGAACACCCGUGGCGAAGGCGGCUCUCUGGGACGGUACUGACGCUGAGACGCGAAAGCGUGGGGAGCGAACAGGAUUAGAUACCCUGGUAGUCCACACCGUAAACGAUGGGUGCUAGGUGUGGGGGGUGUCGACUCCCCCCGUGCCGAAGCUAACGCAUUAAGCACCCCGCCUGGGGAGUACGGCCGCAAGGCUAAA